UUUCCGUUGGUGAACCAGCGGAAGGAUCAUUACAGAGAUCUUGCCCUCACGGGUAGACCUCCCACCCUGUGUUAUUUACGAUUGUUGCUUUGGCAGGCCGCCUACGGGCGCUCGGCUUCGGCUGAGGUGCGCCUGCCAGAGGACCCCCAACUCUGUGUUUAGUGUUGUCUGAGUCUUAUUUAAUACGUAAAAACUUUCAACAACGGAUCUCUUGGUUCUGGCAUCGAUAAAGAAAGCAGC
rnacentral:misc_RNA from 1 species